rnacentral:lncRNA from 10 species
UGGGUGUAGAGGUCCAGCCUCUGGUUACUUGGUCUUCACAGCGCCCCUCACCUUCUGAGCUACUCAAGAGAUGGGGGACAGGAGCAGUACUGCCAAGAACAGUUGUGCAAGUUGCACACUGCACAAGCAUACCAGACAGAAGCUAGAGCAGAAGCUGACGUCGUCUGUUCCCCUCACCACACAUUGCAUCUGCCCAGAGGAAGAGGUGCCGUGCUGGGCAGUGAA